rnacentral:rRNA from 1 species
UACGGAGGGUGCAAGCGUUAUCCGGAUUCACUGGGUUUAAAGGGUGCGUAGGAGGGCAGGUAAGUCAGUGGUGAAAUCUCUGGGCUUAACCCAGAAACUGCCGUUGAUACUAUCUGUCUUGAAUACCGUGGAGGUGAGCGGAAUAUGUCAUGUAGCGGUGAAAUGCUUAGAUAUGACAUAGAACACCAAUUGCGAAGGCAGCUCGCUACACGAAUAUUGACUCUGAGGCACGAAAGCGUGGGGAUCAAACAGG